GAGCGAACGCUGGCGGCAGGCCUAACACAUGCAAGUCGAGGGGCCGUAGCAAUACGGCACCGGCAGACGGGAGAGUAACACGUGGGAACGUGCCCAUCAGUUCGGAACAACCCAGGGAAACUUGGGCUAAUACCGGAUACGCCCUUACGGGGAAAGAUUUAUCGCUGAUGGAGCGGCCCGCGUCUGAUUAGCUAGUUGGUGAGGUAACGGCUCACCAAGGCGACGAUCAGUAGCUGGUCUGAGAGGAUGAUCAGCCUCACUGGGACUGAGACACGGCCCAGACUCCGUACGGGA
rnacentral:rRNA from 1 species